rnacentral:rRNA from 1 species
UGGGGAAUAUUGGACAAUGGGCGAAAGCCUGAUCCAGCCAUGCCGCGUGUGUGAAGAAGGUCUUCGGAUUGUAAAGCACUUUAAGUUGGGAGGAAGGGUUGUAGAUUAAUACUCUGCAAUUUUGACGUUACCGACAGAAUAAGCACCGGCUAACUCUGUGCCAGCAGCCGCGGUAAUACAGAGGGUGCAAGCGUUAAUCGGAAUUACUGGGCGUAAAGCGCGCGUAGGUGGUUUGUUAAGUUGGAUGUGAAAUCCCCGGGCUCAACCUGGGAACUGCAUCCAAAACUGGCAAGCUAGAGUAUGGUAGAGGGUGGUGGAAUUUCCUGUGUAGCGGUGAAAUGCGUAGAUAUAGGAAGGAACACGAGUGGCGAAGGCGACCACCUGGACUGAUACUGACACUGAGGUGCGAAAGCGUGGGGAGCAAACA